AUUGAACGCUGGCGGCAGGCCUAACACAUGCAAGUCGAACGAGUGGCGGACGGGUGAGUAAUGGAUGGGAAACUGCCUGACGGAGGGGGAUAACUACUGGAAACGGUGGCUAAUACCGCAUACCAUCGGAUGUGCCCAGAUGGGAUUAGCUAGUAGGUGGGGUAACGGCUCACCUAGGCGACGAUCCCUAGCUGGUCUGAGAGGAUGACCAGCCACAAUGGAACUGAGACACGGUCCAGACUCCUACGGGAGGCAGCAGUGGGGAAUAUUGCACAAUGGGCGCAAGCCUGAUGCAGCCAUGCCGCGUGUAUGAAGAAGGCCUUCGGGUUGUAAAGUACUUUUAGCGGGGAGGCGUUACCCGCAGAAGAAGCCCCGGCUAACUCCGUGCCAGCAGCCGCGGUAAUAC
rnacentral:rRNA from 1 species